rnacentral:rRNA from 1 species
GACGAACGCUGGCGGCGUGCCUAACACAUGCAAGUCGAACGGAAAGGCCCUGCUUUUGUGGGGUGCUCGAGUGGCGAACGGGUGAGUAACACGUGAGUAACCUGCCCUUGUCUUUGGGAUAACUUCAGGAAACUGGGGCUAAUACCGGAUAGGAGCUCCUGCUGCACGGUGGGGGUUGGAAAGUUUCGGCGGUUGGGGAUGGACUCGCGGCUUAUCAGCUUGUUGGUGGGGUAGUGGCUUACCAAGGCUUUGACGGGUAGCCGGCCUGAGAGGGUGACCGGGCACAUUGCGACUACGGUACGGCCCAGACUGCAACGGGAGGCAACAGUGGAAAGUCUUGCACAGUGGGCGGAAGCCUGAUGCGGAAGCGCCGCGUGCGGAAUGACGGCCUUCGGGUUAUGAACCGCUUUCGCCUGUGACGAAGCGUGAGUGACGGUAAUGGGUAAAGAAGCACCGGCUAACUACGUG